rnacentral:misc_RNA from 1 species
GUAGGUGAACCUGCGGAAGGAUCAUUAACACGUAUCCAACGUUAAACAACCCUGUGAACUUUCAGACGGCGUCGUCGCCCCGGCGGAACAGCAAUCCCGGUAAAUCAAUUGGCGGAAAGGUCUUGAUUCGGGACCUCUGAACCAAAGGGUGUCAGCGUGCCUAGAAGCAGUGGCAUGGUUUCCCUAAGCAGUGCAGAAGGAUCCACUGAGUAAGGAUAACGCAUCUCGGUUGCCAGAGGUCGAUUACCGGCCGGCAGACAUGUCACAGGGCUAUAUGCCCCCUUUCACCCCUUGCCUAACAACGGCCCCGCGGAAACGUAAGGGCACAAAAACGAACAACUGUUAACAAUGGAUAUCUUGGUUCUC